UCAACCCUUGACAGGGUUACUUUUCCUUAGUAGAAAACUCAUACUUAAAAAAAUAUAUCAUUCACUUCAAAUCUUAAACUAGCACAUCGUCCGCCAACAAAUCAACCACACCCACUAACUAAACCGUCCGAUUAGAGAUACUAAAGAGCAUAUGAAACCUAGUUUUAAAAGGGAAAAAUCUAACCCACAUAUUAAACUAGAAAUAUGUAAGG
rnacentral:lncRNA from 1 species